rnacentral:rRNA from 1 species
UUAAUUGAAGAGUUUGAUCAUGGCUCAGAUUGAACGCUGGCGGCAGGCCUAACACAUGCAAGUCGAACGGUAACAGGAAGUGCUUGCACUUUGCUGACGAGUGGCGGACGGGUGAGUAAUGCUUGGGAACUUGCCUUUGCGAGGGGGAUAACAGUUGGAAACGACUGCUAAUACCGCAUAAUGUCUACGGACCAAACGGGGCUUAGGCUUCGGCGCAGAGAGAGGCCCAAGUGAGAUUAGCUAGUUGGUGGGGUAAAGGCUCACCAAGGCGACGAUCUCUAGCUGUUCUGAGAGGAAGAUCAGCCACACUGGGACUGAGACACGGCCCAGACUCCUACGGGAGGCAGCAGUGGGGAAUAUUGCACAAUGGGGGGAACCCUGAUGCAGCCAUGCCGCGUGUGUGAAGAAGGCCUUCGGGUUGUAAAGCACUUUCAGUUGUGAGGAAAAGUGAGUAGUUAAUACCUGCUCACCGUGACGUUAACAACAGAAGAAGCACCGGCU